CCAUGCGAAAGGGACACGCGCCAAUCCACAUUAAAAAAAAAAAAAAGAAAAAGAAAAAGAAAAAGAAAACAGUUUGUGUGUUUUGUAAAAUCCACAAGAGCAGCAAUUAAUAUUCCCAUAGAAUGACUUUAUUUUUUAUUAUUAUUAUUAUUUUGUCUCUCCCCUUUGUUUCCAGCGCCAGCCCCUGGCUCAGUGCCUGGUGCCAACAGAACACCUUUCAGGAUCCACAGCAACGCAGACAACACCUUUAUGCUCCCUUCUCUGCCUUCUUCGGAGCUGUAGAAUUGGCAUCGUUCCCUGAGGUUUUCCAAAUGGCAAGUGGCACCGGCUGUGGCAUGUAUUCAUGCCGCUUCCUAUGGCAUUUCUCUUCCGAUGUCUGCUUUUGCUCUUUGUUUGUUGUUGACUAGGCUGAAUGGUGGGGUUUUUUUUUUUUUUAAGUUAAUUAUAAACGAAGUUGAAUAGCAAACAAACCAACAGCUUGCCCAAAAAGAAAAAAGAAGAAAAAAAAAGCCCCACACAAGCGCCUUCUGCUGCAACAGAUGCCCAGAUCACCC
rnacentral:lncRNA from 1 species